rnacentral:rRNA from 1 species
AGUGAACGCUGGCGGUAGGCCUAACACAUGCAAGUCGAACGGCAGCACAGUAAGAGCUUGCUCUUACGGGUGGCGAGUGGCGGACGGGUGAGGAAUACAUCGGAAUCUACUUUUUCGUGGGGGAUAACGUAGGGAAACUUACGCUAAUACCGCAUACGACCUACGGGUGAAAGCAGGGGAUCGUCUGACCUUGCGCGAGUGAAUGAGCCGAUGUCGGAUUAGCUAGUUGGCGGGGUAAAGGCACACCAAGGCGACGAUCCGUAGCUGGUCUGAGAGGAUGAUCAGCCACACUGGAACUGAGACACGGUCCAGACUCCUACGGGAGGCAGCAGUGGGGAAUAUUGGGCAAUGGGCGAAAGCCUGAUCCAGCCAUACCGCGUGAGUGAAGAAGGCCUUCGGGUUGUAAAGCCAUUUUGUUGGGAAAGAAAAGCAGCAGGUUAAUCCCCCGCUGUUCUGACGGUACCCAAAGAAUAAGCACCGGCUAACUUCGUG